rnacentral:lncRNA from 1 species
CUUGCUGUCUAAUUUCACCUCCUAUAAAAUGGAGCUAAUAAGCCACAUGUGGUGGCUCACGCCUAUAAUCUCGCUGAAGUGGGCAGAUCACUUGAGGUCAGGAGUUCAAGACCAGACUGGCCAACAUGGCAAAACCCCCUCUCUACUAAAAAUACAAAAAUUAGCCAAGCGUGGUGGUGCAUGCCUGUAAUCCCAGCUACUUGAGAGGCUGAGGCGGGAAGAUCACUUGAACCUGGGAGGUGAAGGUUGCAGUGAGCCAAGAUGGCACUACUGCACUCCAGCCUGGGUGAUAGAGCAAGACUGUCUCAAGAAAAAUAAAAAAAUAAAAUAAAAUAAAUGGGGCUAAUAGUACCUACCUCCCCUUCCUUCAGGCCAACAAGAGGUGGAUGAAGAUCUAACCCUGAGCUGAAAGGGAAUCUGCUGAACAGGACUGAGGACUCAAAGACAGCAAGCAUUGUUUCCCAAACCAUCGAUUCCCGGAGCAAGCUUUGGGGCACACAAAGGUGAAAAAGAGGUUGCUGCCUGCAGUGGGUUUCCAGAUGACUUGGUGCCUUGGUCACAGCAGCAGAACCUGACAGAACUGGAAGCUGUCUGAACAGCCGCUUCCUUCUUCAUUCGCCAUCCCACUCAAGCUGGCUGGCAUGAGGCACGUAGUCUGGACUGGGCAGACGUCUCCUCUGAAGACAUUGGAGGAAAGGGCCUUUUCCUCCUCAGCACUCAUCCUGAGAAAGGGAGAGGAAGGGGUGACUGUUCACACCUAGCAUAGAGAAAGACGUUCUCCUGAUGGCAGUGGCCGUGAUGCACACAUCUGCUCAAACCCUCCACUGGCUUCCUGCUCCUUCCGAAGAAAGCCAAAGGCCCUGUGUAGUGUGGACCCCGGCCUCUCUGACUUCACCUUCUACCCCCUUUACCUGCUCACUCCUCUCCAGCCAUUGGGACUUGGGUAUUCUCUAGUUCCCCUCCCUCCCGACUCAAUCCAUUGUCUGCUCUGUGCCAAGAAGCAGAUGCCUGUGGGCUCCAAGAACAGCUCCCCAGUGCACUGGCCAUCAACUGUGUUUAGCCAAUGGGAGGCACCAGCAGGAGGUCAGAGGGCAGAAGAAGGGAGAGUUCACAGCAGGAGUGACAGGUCCCUCUCCACAUGGCAGCGGCUGGGUACCCCACACUGCAGCCAAUCCUCCCCAGCCCUGGCAACACUGUACCACCCCCAUGAUCCAUGUUGGCUCCUUAACCUUCUCUGACACCUUCCCUAACACCUCUGUCCACAGUCUCUUCCUUAAACCUCCCUUCCUCAGCUGAGCCAUUAGACCCUGACUGAUGCACGGGCUCAUGACCCAUCUGGGUGUUUCGUAUGCCCUCUGCCUGCCUUAUUAUCUGGCUUCAAGUCCCAGCUCUUUUUUUAAUUAUUUUAUUUAUUUUUUUUUAUUUUUUUUUUCAUUUUUUUUUUAUUUUUUAUUUUUGAGAUAGGAUCUCACUCUCUCACCCAGGCUGGAGUGCAGUGGCACAAUCACGGCUCACUGCAGGCUUGACCUCCCAGGCUCAAGCCAUCCUUCCACUUCAGCCUUCUGGGCAGCUGGGACCACAAGUCUAUGCCACCAUGCCCGGCUAAUUUUUUUAUAAUUUUGGUAGAGGUAGGGUCUCCCUCUGUUGCCCAGGCUGGUCUCAAACUCCUCUCCUGAAGUGAUCCUAUUCCCCUUGGACUCCCAAAGUGCUGGAAUUACAGGCACGAGCCACUGCACCCAGCCCGCCUUUUAUUAUAUGGGUGACCUUGGGCCAAGUUAGUCAAUUUCUUGCCACAGCUCCUUCAUCUGUAAAAUGGGGUGAUGAUAAUAGGACAGUCACACGUUGCUUAAGGGUAGAGAUACAUUCUGAGAAAUGCGGCGUUAGGCAAUUUCGUUGUGCGAACAUUACAGAGGGAGUUUGUACAAAACUAGAUGACAGCCUACUCACUACACAUCUGGACUAUAUGGUACAGCCUACUGCUUCUAGGCUGCAGUCCUGAAUGGCAUGUUACUGUACUGAACAUCGGAGUCAACUUAAUACAAUGGUGAGCAUUUGUGUAUCUAAUCAUAUCUAAACAUAGAAGAAGUACAGUAAAAAUACUGUAUUAUAAUCUCAUAGGGCCACCGUUGUAUAUACGGUCCAUUGCUGAUCCACACAUCAUUAUGUGGUACAUGACUGUACUUAGAACAUAGGGUUAUAACGAAGAUGAAAUGAGCUAAUUGAUGAAAAGCACCUAGAAUAGUGUCUGGCACAUAGUAGUAAACAAUAAAUAGAAGCUACCAUUAUUAUUUAUUACUAUCAUCAGAGUCAGGCUCACUCUGUUGACCAGGUUGGAGUCCAGUGGCACCAUCUCGACUCACUGAAACUUCCACCUCCCGAGUUCAAGUGAUUCUCCUGUUUCAGCUUCCUGAGUAGCUGGGAUUACAGGUGCCUGCCAGCACACCCAGCUAAGUUUUGUAUUUUUAGUAGAAACGGGGUUUCACCAUGUUGGCCAGGCUGGUCUUGAACUCCUGACCUCAGGUAAUCCACUCGCCUCAGCCUCCCAAAAUGCUGGAAUUACAGGCAUGAACCACCGCACCUGGCUAGACCUUGUUUUUGACCCCAUAGGGUUUACUUGAUAUUCCUCCAAAUGACAAACCUUUAAACUACAGAUUCCCAACAAUUCUGAGCACAGGUUCCAUUACCAGUAUCUGUCCAUAGCCUUGCAAGACAAGUACUUUAGGAAGGACAACCUCACUCUGCAGCAAAUUGUGAUGUGAUAUAUAAUCAGAUAUUACAUAUACACAUAUAUUUUUAAAAUUCAUAAAUGAGACCAGGUGCAGUGGUUCAUGCCUGUAAUUCCAGCACUUUGGGAGGCCGAGGUGGGUGGAUCACCUGAGGUUGGGAGUUCGAGACCAGCCUGACUAACACAGAGAAACCCCAUCCCUACUAAAAAUACAAAAUUAGCCGGGCAUGGUGGCGCAUGCCUGUAAUCCCAGCUAUUCAGGAGGCUGAGGCAGGAGAAUCACUUGAACCCAGGAGGUGGAGGUUGCAGUGAGCCGAGAUUGCACCACUGCACUCCGGCCUGGGCAACAAGAGUGAAACUCCGCCUCAAAAAAAAAAAAAAAAUCAUAAAUAAUCACACCCCUUUAGAGCUACAACUGAUAUUCUCUACCCCACAAAAAUCUAAGUCAAGGAAGCAGUACAUAGGCUGAUCAUACCUGACAACACAAAAGAGUAUGAACACUGGGACAGAAUUCCAAAUCCUAGCCAUGAGCUGGGGCAAGUUCCUCCCCUGGCUCCGUUUCCCCAUCGCUAAACAAUACUCAUCUUCUCUGCUUCAUAGGGUCACUUUGUAACUAACAACUGAAAGGGAUGACCAUUUAGCCUGGCACACAGGAGGGCCUCAAUCAAUAUUAGUUCCUUUUUUCUCUUUAAUAAAACAAAGUAAUUGACAUAGAAAACUCAGGAAAUUAUAUAGGAAUAAUAUACUCUAAUGUUAUCUACAGCCUCCGAAAAACAAUAAAUCAAGGGAAUUUUUCAAAAGUACAUUUUCCAAGUGCAAUGGUUCAUGAAGCCAUUAUGAGGUUUCCGAAUUUCCCCUUAAUUUCCGGUAUUCAAAAAAAAAAAAACAACAACAAAAAACGCUUCAGUGAUACAAUGCCAGUGGCAGCAGCUGAGGCCCACCCCCGGCCUUCUUUUUUCCUUUUACAGGUUGAAAGGUGUUGCAUGAAGCCUGCAGCCCGGCCAGAAAGACUUCAGCUGGAUGGAAGGCGAGCCCAUGGCCUCUUCUCUUGCAUGUGGUGUUCCCAGCCAGAGACCCAAGCGUCUAUCUCUACAGUCAGCCCACCCAUGGCCCUUCUCUGGGGACUAGGUGAUAAUUAUGGCUGAAGGGGCGUGGGGGUGUUUGUCAGUCAUGAACAAGAUUCCAAAGAGCGCUGCCACUUCCCAGACAAAUAACAGACCCUCAGGGGGCCUGGCUUAUGGUCCCAUGGGCUAGAAUCCAUAUCCUCAGGUGUGGGACAGGCCAGUGAAGUCCAACUGUAACCAGAACCACUCAUGUCCACUGCCCAUCACCUAGAGGAUUUCAUCACACCUGGCAUGGGUGUGAAAUGGGGAGUUUGAAAACAGAGAGCAGGUGGGGGACUCCCGGCCCAGCAGCCCCUCUCGGUGCAGUGCAGGCGCCAAGCGUGUGGACUCUGAAGCCAUAUGCCCAGGUAUGAAUCUAGGCUUUCUUGCUCGCUGACUGUGGGCCAAGUUUCUUAUUGUAAUACUCUGUGCCUCAGUCCUCUCCUCUGUAACAUGGAGACAACUGUGGAAACUAAAUGACGUAAUGCACUUAAAGCAGUGCCUGUAACACACUGUAAGCACUCUUUUACGUUCUUAUUUUAUUAUUAGCAGUCAGAGUUAUUGCCAUUACCUCCAGCCUCUGGAUCUGCCCAGUUCUGGCCAGCUCCAACAAGGACAUUCCAUUUUCUUCCACCAUGGAGGGGCUUCACUGCAGUCACUCCAAAAUUUAGACUACAUGGUUCAGCCUUGACCUAACCCUCUGCAGCCUGUAUACAAGCAUUUGCUCACCUUUCAUAGAAAAAAUAGCUAAUGCAUGCUGGGCUUAAUAACUAGGUGAUGGGUUGAUAGGUGCAGCAAACCACCAUGGCACACGUUUACCUAUGCAACAAAUCUGCACAUCCUGCACAUGUACCUCGGAAUGUAAAAUAAAAAUUAAAAUUAAUUUUAAAAAAAGAAUAUGUAUGAACCACCCACUGAGUGUCAGACAACACAGAGUUCAAGGACAAAGUCAGUUUCUUUUCUCUAGGGGAGGAGUCACACCAAAAUCAAAGAGCCAAAUAAUUUAAUAAAUUUUUUUUACAGACUAUGACUGGUGCCACAGUGAAAUUCAGCAGCAUCCAGUGAUGAGAAAUGGAGGUUAGGGAAUGAGUCUAUUAGAAGGGGUGGUCUGAGGAGGUGAUAUUGAAGUUAGGAUGAGAAUCAGCUUUUCAACAAGCUGGGGAAAAAGCAUUCUAGGAUCUGGGACCAGCAAGUGCAAAGGUCCUGUGGUGCCCAGGGAAGGGUGUCAGGGAACUGAUCAAAGACCAGGAUGUGGGGCUACAGAGGGAGGGACCACUUGAUGAGGCUGGAAGACACUAGUGUUCACAAAAUAACUCCGUGAAUACUAAACAAUCUUAGGCCUGCAUAGUCUAUCUAACAAAUGAAUUCUAUUUACCUCAUCCAAUUGUGUGUGAUUCCAACCUCUUCUUGACUACCUCUAGUGAUGGAGAACUCACUCACUGCAAUUUCAGAGAAUGCUCAUUCACUCGAUCAACAGGAACAGGCUGCUCAGGAUUUCAAAAAAGUCAGGAGAUACAAUGGGAAGCCUGGAGAUAGGGUUUUUGUGGAGGUUUUUUGUUUGUUUGUUUGUACUUUAAGUUCUGGGAUACAUGUACAGAACACGCAGGUUUGUUACAUAGAUAUGCGUGUGCCAUGGUGGUUUGCUGCACCCAUCAACCCAUCUUCUAGGUUUUAAGCCCCGCAUGCACUGGGUAUUUCUCCUAAUGCCAUCCCUCCCCUUGCCCCCCAUCCCCCAACAGGCCCCAGUGUGUGAUGUUCCCCUCCCUGUGUCCAUAUGUUCUCAUUGUUCAACUCCCACUUCUGAAUGAGAACAUGCUGUGUUUGGUUUUUCGUUCCUGUGUUAAUUUGCUGAGAAUGAUGGUUUCCAGCUUCAUCCAAGUCCCUGCAAAGGACAUGAAUGCAUUCUUUUUUAUGGCUGCAUAGUAUUCCAUGGUGUAUAUGUGCCACAUUUUCUUUAUCCAGUCUAUCAGUGAUGGGCAUUUGGGUUGGUUCCAGGUCUUUGCUAUUGUAAAAAGUGCUGCUAUAAACAUAUAUGUGCAUGUGUCUUUAUAGUAGAAUGAUUUAUAAUCUUUUGGGUAUAUACCCAGUAAUUGGAUUGCUGGGUCAAAUGGUAUUUCUGGUUCUAGAUCCUUGAGGAAUCACCCCACUGUCUUCCACAAUGGUUGAACUAAUUUACAUUCCCACCAACAGUGUAAAAGCGUCCCUAUUUCUCCACAUCCUCUCCAGCAUCUGUUGUUCCCUGACUUUUUAAUGAUCACCAUUCUAACUGGCAUGAGAUGGUAUCUCAUUGUGGUUUUGAUUGCAUUUCUCUAAUGACCAGUAAUGAUGAGUUGUUUUUUGUUUUCUGUUUUUCAUUUGUUUGUUGGCCAUAUAAAUGUCUUCUUUUGAGAAGUGUCUGUUCACAUCCUUUGCCCACUUUUUGAUGGGGUUUUUGUUUGUUUGUUUGUUUGUUUUUUCCCCUGUAAAUUUAAGUUCUUUGUAGAUUCUGAAUAUUAGCCAUUGGUCAGAUGGAUAGAUUGCAAAAAUUUUCUCCCAUUCUGUAGGUUCCUUGUUGACUCUGAUAGUAGUUUCUUUUGCUGUGCAGAAGCCCUUUAGUUUAAUUAGAUCCCAUUUGUCAAUUCUGGCUUUUGUUGCCAUUGCUUUUGGUGUUUUAGUCAUGAAGUCUUUGCCCAUGCCUAUGUCCUGAAUGGUGUUGCCUAGGUUUUCAUCUAGGGUUUUUAUGGUUUUAGGUCUUAUGUUUAAGCCUUUAAUCCAUCUUGAGUUAAUUUUUGUAUAAGGUAUAAGGAAGGGGUCCAGUUUCAGUUUUCUACAUAUGGCUAGCCGGUUUUCCUGACACCAUUAUUAAAUAGGGAAUUCUUUCCCCAUUGCUUGUUUUUGUCAGGUUUGUCAAAGUUCAGAUGGUUGUAGAUGUGUGGUAUUAUUUCUGAGGCCUCCAUUCUGUUCCAUUGGUCUAUAUCUCUGUUUUGGUACUAGUAUCAUGCUGUUUUGGCUACUGUAGCCUUGUGGUAUAGUUUGAAGUUUAAGGUUUUAAGCAGACUCAGUGAACUCUGCUAGUUAAUAAGUGUAGGUGAGGUUGUAAGCAGGCCACAGUGGAAGCAGAGGGCCCAAGUAGAAGAUAUUACCUAUGGGCAGGGAGGAACAAUGGUUCCUAUGGGAAGACUUUGCUUAAAGUGAGAUACAAGGUCGUCAACUUCAGUGUCACCUGUGAGCUUGUUAGAUCCAAUUCUCAGGCCUCAUCCUAAGUCUCUAGGGAGGGGUCCAGCUGUCUGGGUUUCAACAAGCCCUUCUGGUGAUUCUGACUACACUAAAAUUUGAAAAUCACUGGACUACAGGACUGAUAAUAUUAACUAGAAAACAAUGGUGUCCCCCAGGAAUGGCUUCAUAUCCCUCUGGAGCCAGGCAGAGCCAAUGCCCUCGGGCCAAGACAUUAAGAUCCAUAAGGCAGGCUUGUAAUCCCAGCACUUUGGGAGGCUGAGGCAGGUAGAUCGCUUGAGUCCAGGAGUUCAAGACCAGCCUGGGCAACAUGGUGAAACCUUGUCUCUACUAAAGAUACAAAAAUUAGCUGGGCAUCAUAGCAUGCACCUGUAGUCCCAACUACUCGGGUGGCUGAGGUGGGAGGAUUACUUAAGCCCAGGAAGCUGAGGUUGCAGUGAGAUUGUGCCACUGCACUCCAGCCUGGGCGACAGAGCAAGACCCUGUCUGGGAAAAAAAAAAAAAUCCAUAAAGCAGUUUUCAGAGAAGACUCUGUCCAUGGGAUUGAUGUUCACUUACCCCGGCUAGGACCGGGCGAGGCCAAGAUAGAGGGCAGGAGAGAGGAGCAGCUUCAACAUCUCUGCAGACACCAUCACUGCAGCCACAUUCCAGUUCCACAGAGGAAUGCAGACAAUCCUCACAAUCCCCAGGGCAGGGCAGGAGGUAGAGAGGAUUAUGAAAUGCCUGCUUGUUGACCAAAACCUACCUAGGGAAUCUCACCGAAUCCCUCAACAACCCAGAACAGUACUAUUCUGUUUACUCCCUUUGGCUCCAUAGGGCCCAACAGAUUAUGGCAAUCCAGAAAGGCUGAGACCAGAGCCCCAAGUGGCCAAGACAACAAGAAAGGAGCCAUAAUAGUGUUGCCCACUGUCCCCUCCUAUAUAUCUGGGGAGGUGGGGGGAGAUUCCUCUCAAAGGUUUCUUGUUUUGUUCCAGAAUGGUAAGAGAUACUACUGUUCAUUAAAUAACUCCAUGAAUAUCAGAUAAUCUCAGAGUUGGAUAACCUUUUACCCAAUACCUGAAUUCUAUUUACCUUAUCCAAUUGUGCAAGAAUUUUUUUUUUUUCUUUUGAAACAGAGUCUCACUCUGUCGCCCAGGCUGGAGUGGAGUGGUGCGAUCUCAGCUCACUGCAAGC